rnacentral:rRNA from 1 species
AUUGAACGCUGGCGGCAGGCUUAACACAUGCAAGUCGAGCGAGCGGCGGACGGGUGAGUAAUGUCUGGGAAACUGCCUGAUGGAGGGGGAUAACUACUGGAAACGGUAGCUAAUACCGCAUACCAUCAGAUGUGCCCAGAUGGGAUUAGCUAGUAGUGGGGGUAAUGGCUCACCUAGGAGACGAUCCCUAGCGGGUCUGAGAGGAUGACCCGCCACACUGGAACUGUGACACGGUCCAGACUCCUACGGUAUGCAGCAGUGGGGAAUAUUGCACUAUGGGCGCAAGUCUGAUGCAGCCAUGCCGCGUGUGUGACGAAGGCUUUCGGGUUGUAAAGCACUUUCAGCGAGGAGGCGUUACUCGCAGAAGAAGCACCGUCGAACUCCGUGCCAGCAGCCGCGGUAAUUC